rnacentral:misc_RNA from 1 species
CGGCGUUGCGGCGCGCAACACACAGUCGUUCGUCAGACGUGGGACGGGACGGGUGUAUUUCGGACGGCUGUGAAGUAAAGCGAGGUGCCCCGUCGUCCUCGUCUCUCUCUCUCUCUUUUCCUCCUUCGGUCGUUCCGUCGCCCUCUCUCCCUCGCUCCUUUUCCUUCUUCCUCUCUUUCCCUCUUAUCUUCUCGCGGCCCCGCGACGACGGGGACGGCACGGCGUGCGAAGGAACCACAAACGGAGGCGCGCACCCGCGUACCUCGUAGGUAGCCAGCCUCUCUAUCCCGUGGUGCGUGCGUACGUGCGCGCCGUACACUCGUGUCUGCCUUGCCUGCCUGCCUGCUUACUCCCGGCCAUCCGCUUGGCUCUCUCUCUUUCUCUCUCUCUCUCUCUCUCGUCUCACUUCGCGUCGGCGGCGCAGCUGAGGAACCACGGCAGUCUCGCACCGGAGCAGCAGUCUAUUGCUCGCGCCGCGCUGUACAGGUUCGAGAAAUGGAGCUCGAGCAGGCGGCGCCGCAGGUGAACGCGGACCUGGAGAAGAAGACCAAGGAGAGCGGCGGCGGCGGCGGUGGCGUCUCCGGGGGUCACGGUGAUCAUAUCAAUGGCAUGUCCAAUGGUUUCGAUAAGAAAAGAGAACACAAAUCAGAGCACAGAGACAAAGACAGAGAGCGAUCUCACAAAUCGGAUCACAAAGACAAAGAUCGAAGCAGAGAUAAGGAGAGGAAUCACAAAAGUGAACACAGAGAUAAGGAUAAGGAUAAACACAGACAUAGCUCCAGUUCCGUUAAGGACAAGGAGAAGCAUGAUAGCAGCAAUAACAAGGAUAAAGACAAGGACAAAAAAAGUUCCUCGUCUAGCAAAGACAAGGAACACAAGAGUAGCAGUUUGUCCAGCAAGGAUAAGGAGAAGGAUAAAGACAAAAGCCGGGACAAGGAACAUCAUCACAAAUCAAGCUCGAGCUCCAAAGACAAAGACAGGCAUCACAGUAGUUCUAAGGACAAGGACAGCUCGAGCAAGGAUAAAGACAAGGAUUCGAAGAGCAAGGAUAAGGAUAGGCACAGACACAGUUCCUUGAACUCUAGCUCGCGCGACAAAGAUAAAGACCGAAGUAUCUCAAAGGACAAAGAUGGCAAGAAGCAUUCAUCGGAUAAGGACAAGGAUAGACAUUCCACUUCACACUCCUCGGGCGAUAAGGAGAAGCAUCGUUCGUCGGAGAAAGAUAAAGAUAAGCAUAGAGAAAGUUCGUCCAGCAGUAAAGACAAGCAUCGUCAUGAAAAAGACAAGGAUCGUCACCGCCAUGAUAAGGAUAAAUCUAAGCAUCGCGAGGAUAAGGAGAAGAAAGAUAAGGAGGAAGUUAAAGUAAAGGAAGAACUGAAAGAGAAAGAAGAAACAAAAGUAAAGUUAAAUCACUCAACUAAUGCAGACUAUCAUUAUACGUCAGUGAAGGUUGAGAUAAAGGAGGAUCCUAAUCCAGAAUUAGAUGAUGACGAUGACAGCGGUGGUGAGCGACCGCUCUAUAUUGAUGAACCAAUCAAGGAGGAGGCUAGUAUGGACUCGACUGAUGGAAAUGACACCAGGCUUUCGGAUCUCCAUAAUACGACCAUAAAGACGGAAGACUCGGAGGAGGAUAAACCUCUGUCUUCAAGAUCAAACGCAUCGCCAAGCGUGAAGAGAAAAAUCGAGUCGGAUGAGGAUGAUGACGUUCCGCUAUCGGCACGUAAGAAGUCCAAGAAAGGAGCUGCCACCGCGAAGACCAAGAAGAAGAAACGAGAUUACGUGGAUGAUGGCGAUUCUGAUGGCGAAGAACUUGCUACACAGAAACCAAAGAAGAAAAAUAAGAAAGUGAAAGAAGGAGAAAGUCCAAAGAAGAAAAAACAGGAGGAGGAACAACAGGAAGUUUGGAAAUGGUGGGAGGAAGACAUUAAGGCUGAUGGUUUGAAAUGGAAUUUCUUGGAACACAAGGGACCAGUAUUUGCACCACCCUACGAGCCCUUACCCUCCUCUGUGAAGUUUUACUAUAACAACAAGGAGAUUAAGCUAAGCCCGGAGACAGAGGAAGUCGCAACCUUCUAUGCUCGCAUGCUCGAGCAUGACUACACAACCAAGUCCGUGUUCAACAACAACUUUUUCCAUGACUGGCGGGAAGUGAUGACCGAGUCGGAGCGUGCCAAGAUCACCGAUCUGUUCAAGUGCAACUUUAAGGAGAUGCAUGCGUAUUUUGUGCAGAAAAACGAAGAGCGCAAGGCUAUGACGAAGGAAGAGAAGAAGAAGAUUAAAGAGAAGAAUGAUGAAAUACAGAAAGAAUUCGGCUUUUGCACUAUCGACGGCCAUAAGGAGAAGAUCGGCAACUUCAAGAUUGAGCCACCCGGCCUGUUCAGAGGCCGUGGCGAACAUCCUAAGAUGGGCAAGCUAAAGAAACGAGUGAUGCCGGAAGAUGUGAUGAUCAACUGCUCAAGAGAUUCAAAUAUACCGAAACCGCCGUCCGGGCAUAAGUGGAAGGAGGUACGGCACGACGCCACCGUCACGUGGCUCGCGUCCUGGACAGAGAACAUUCAGGGACAGGUGAAGUACAUAAUGCUGAAUCCAUCUAGCAAGCUCAAGGGCGAGAAGGAUUGGCAAAAGUACGAGACGGCGCGGAAGCUGGCGCAAUCGAUCGACAAGAUCCGUGCGGAAUAUCGGGAAGACUGGAAGAGCAAAGAGAUGCGCAUCAGACAGCGGGCAGUCGCUCUGUACUUCAUUGACAGGCUGGCGCUUAGAGCCGGUAACGAGAAGGACGAGGACCAGGCAGAUACCGUGGGCUGUUGCUCACUGCGAGUGGAGCAUAUCAAAUUGCAUGAGCAGAGGGAUGGCAAGGAGUACGUCGUCGUGUUUGAUUUCUUAGGUAAAGAUUCCAUUCGAUAUUACAACGAGGUGCCAGUGGAGAAACGCGUCUUUAAGAAUCUACAGCUCUUCAUGGAAAAUAAAUCCCCCGGAGAUGAUCUAUUCGACCGCCUCAACACCACCGUGAUGAAUAAGCAUCUGAACGAACUGAUGGACGGUCUUACCGCUAAAGUAUUCAGAACUUACAACGCGUCGUGGACGCUGCAACAGCAGCUGGAUAAACUGACGGAUCCGAAUGAUACGGAGGCCGAGAAGAUCCUCUCGUACAAUCGUGCCAAUCGCGCUGUCGCCAUUCUGUGUAACCAUCAGCGUGCCGUACCAAAAACGCACGCGAAAUCCAUGGAGAACCUAAAGGCGAAGAUCGACGCGAAGAAGGAGGCGAUAGCCGAGUGCGAACUGCAAGUGAAAGAUGCUAAACGAGACGCGAAACAUGGCUCAGUAAAGGAAAAAGUAGCAUACGAAAAGAAGAAGAAACAACUAGACAGAUUGAAAGUUCAAUUAACGAAACUGGAAGUCCAGGCGACCGAUCGAGAGGAGAACAAAGAGAUCGCGCUGAGUACUUCCAAGUUGAACUAUCUCGAUCCUAGAAUUUCCGUUGCAUGGUGUAAGAAACACAAUGUUCCGAUCGAAAAGAUCUACAACAAGACUCAAAGGGACAAGUUCCGAUGGGCCAUAGACAUGGCGGGACCCGACUACGUGUUUUAACCCCGCGAGUCGCCAUCACAAGUGCUGUCAUCAUCGUCGCCGCCAACGCGUGUGUGAUUGGAGUACAACUCCUGCCGACGAUAUAUAUAUAUAUAUAUCUAGUGAAAUUUUACGUUUCUAACGAGAAGCCAGGAGACUUAAGUAAGACGAAAGGAAAGAGCUAAAAAAAAAAGAAAAAAAGAACAGUAUAAACGUUUGUACGAGGCACUUGGACGUGAUAAUCUACAUAGGAAUGUUGAUCUACAAGGAAAAGGUCAUCACCCAGCGAAUUGCGGGCUGACUCUCAAACGAAAACGCGGGAGAGAGGAGCACGAUUUUAUUUUUGUUUAGGUAGAAAUUUAUUCUGACCAUGUGUGUGGAUUAGGAAAUUAGCAAAAAAAAAAGAAUUUUUGUGUGGACAAAAAGGAGGGAGAGAGCACCGUUAAAAUUUAACAGCGGGCAUGCGUGAGGUGUGGUGCGACAAUUAAAUUCUGCACGAGGGAUUGUUUGGGGGAUUGUGAUGGGGUUUCUUCGUGCCGACUGAGAAAGCAUGCGAGAAGCUGUAACUACGUUAUUGUAUAUAUUGUAGGACAAGUUCGUGCGAAUGAGGCGGAUUCAGUUUGCGCUAUGAUUAUCGAUAUUAAGAGAAGGAAGGAAGGAAGAAAGAAAAAAAAGAAAAGGGCAAAAGGAAAGAGAAACCAACUUUUGAAGUAGGCAGCUGAAUGAAUUUUAUAUUUCCCUUUAGCGAGCAUAACACGCAUAACGCGCAUGUUGUUUCUCUCAUAAAUGUAUGAUAAUAUCAUUCAUCGAGUAUCACGUUUACAUUUUGCAACAAUCGUGUCGAAGACAUAUGUAUUCGUAGAGACAUAUUCGAUAGUGUGCACUUCUCUUUUUGAUAUAUGAAUGAAGAAAAACAGGAAAAGCAACUAGCAAAUUCUCGCCGGAUCGCGGUUCGUCCCACCUUUUACCCCUCCCCCCCCUUAAAAAAACGUAGUAUAAAGAAUGCCGAAAAAAAUAUAUUUAAGUGAAUCAUAUCGCUUUUAGCGAUUUAUGUUUUAUAAGAUGAUAUCUAUAGGCUAUAAAAAUAAACGAGAAAAAUGUACCCCUU